UACGUAGGGUGCAAGCGUUGUCCGGAAUUAUUGGGCGUAAAGAGCUCGUAGGCGGUUUGUUGCGUCGGCUGUGAAUUCCCGAGGCUCAACCUCGGGUCUGCAGUCGAUACGAGCAAACUAGAGUGUUGCAGGGGAGACUGGAAUUCCUGGUGUAGCGGUGAAAUGCGCAGAUAUCAGGAGGAACACCGGUGGCGAAGGCGGGUCUCUGGGCAACAACUGACGCUGAGGAGCGAAAGCGUGGGGAGCGAACAGG
rnacentral:rRNA from 1 species